rnacentral:rRNA from 1 species
ACGGAAGGCAGCAGUGGGGAAUUUUGCACAAUGGAGGAAACUCUGAUGCAGCGACGCCGCGUGAACUAUGAAGGUCUUCGGAUUGAAAAGUUCUUUUCUAUGUGAAGAAAAUGACUGUAGCAUAGGAAUAAGGUCCGGCUAACUACGUGCCAGCAGCCGCGGUAAUACGUAGGGACCAAGCGUUGUCCGGAAUCAUUGGGCGUAAAGAGUACGUAGGCGGUUAUUUAAGUUGGAAGUGAAAGGCAUAGGCUCAACCAAUGUAAGCUUCCAAAACUGGAUAACUUGAGAUAUGGAAGAGAAAGUGGAAUUUCUAGUGUAGCGGUGAAAUGCGUAGAUAUUAGGAAGAAUACCAGUGGCGAAAGCGACUUUCCGGCCAUAAACUGACGCUGAGGUACGAAAGUGUGGGUAGCAAACAGGAUUAGAUACCCUGGUA